ACUGCACACUCGAAAAGUCUCUGGCGCUCUGGGUUUCACGCACAUGUCUUGUACUAGUCUUGACUCAUGUAGAUCUGUACCGUCUUUGGUUGAGCUGAGUCGCUUUGUCCUUCUCCAUUUUGAGAAUGCGAGUCUACUGCAGUCGACUCCCUGGUAGUGGUGAUGGUGGUAGCCCGUGUCGGUAGUACUAGUGUGCUGUGUUAUAAUUAUGACUCAUGAGUUUUCCUUUUCCGCAACGUUUCAAGGUCAAGUAUUCGGCACUUCAACAAACUUCCAGGACUUUAAAGUUUUCGACUCAGUCAGUGGUUCCGGGUCAUGACUGUGCUAUACCGGCACUUCCUCUGGCUAAAAGAGCACGUCAAUCAUUAGACCUGCAAGCGUCAUUGACCGGAUUUACUAUUGUAUACUGCUAGGACCCGUUUCAAGAACACCAACAAUCUACUACACUGUCUGUAGGAGAGACAUGGCAGUGGAGACGGAAAUCAAAGUGCGAGCUGUAUACGACUUUGCUCCAGAAGUGGAGGGCGAGCUAAUGCUCCGGAUUGGAGAUAUCAUCGUUGUCACAGAGAUGAUUGACGAUGAUUGGUGGCGUGGUAAAUGCGGUAAUCGUACGGGUAUGUUUCCAGUCGCUUUUGUGGAGCUGAUCAACUGAUUACCAAUGGAGUACGCGCGCGCGCACGCAUGCACACACACAAACACACACACACACACACACACACACACACACAUAUACACGUGCACACAUAUACACACACACACAUACACCUGUCCUGUCCUGUAGAGUCACUGCCGCAAAAGGGUCACGUGAUCCCAUCACUGGGAAACUUGAGAAGAGAGAGAGAGGACACGACGCUCGAUGACGCUCCAGGUGCACGGGUAGUCGCAUCCGCUUGCCGCAUAUGUACACGUGCUGGAAGGCUGAGCGCUCCUCUGCUGUUGGUCUAUGCGCCACCCUUGAACAGCGAUGCCUGCCCCGCCCCCGGACACCGCGAAAGCAGCGACCACACCUGUCACAAUACGCGGCACAACAUCCCUCCGCCGGUGCCGACGUUCCGGUAGCUCCAGGUGGCACUGUGGCAUCCACCGUUGAGGCACACACAUGCCGGACCAAGCCACCGCGGCUUCUCAGCCACCGCCCACACUGACUGGCGCCCCGCUGCUCAGACACAGGCCGCGCACGCUCCUCCAGACACUUAUGCCGAGCCAUGUCUCCUUUCCGUGCAAAAUCCCGUCCGCAUACUGUACAUAUCACUCGGGGCGGAGGCUCAGGCGCAUUGUCAGGCUCUUGGUAGGUGCUGCGCCACUCCGCGCGGGACUCACAUGCAACAUCAUACCAUGAUGCCUCUACGCCACGGGCACUGACGUAGAUCCCAGACAGCACAGUCCUUCCAUCUGCGGCGUGGGCCAUGUGCUGGGCGACGCUGCAAGAAGGAGCCAAACAGUACCUGUUUUGGGAUGCGGUUGUCCGGCAUCCGCGCCACAUGCCCCAACCACUCCAACCGCCGAGACGAUUAAAGACACAUACACACACACACGCACUUGCACAUUGAAUGUACUUGCUGAUCGGCCAUCUCGACCACUGCCUUCUGCAACCCAUCGUUUUCUUUGACCAUUAGUCAUAUUGUCGUUGUUGACAUUGUCUUUUGCUCAUACCUACAGCCCUUCCCCUUCUACACUGUUGUGCCGGCGGUUUGCUGGGCAUGUACCUGUGGGUGGGUGUCAUUUAUAUUUAUAUUGCCCGACAAUUCAUUCGUCGCAAGCGGCCACCUUUUUGUUGUCCCCUACAACUCUCUUAUGUUGGCCACCCUCUGCAAUGGAAACACUGAGCUGCAGGUAGCAAGCCAAUAGCCUGCCCAGAUGUAGUGGAGACAUCCGGGGAGACUACAUCAGCCGUCUUGUUUCUUUACUCCUUGAAAGGGGCUAAAGUUUCUGAAUUUGC